AACAAACGUAAAGUAAAGCACACCUGCUCUAUCGCAUAUCUGCUAUAUCUUAAAUGGCUGCAGUACUCUGACUGUACUAAGGUAGCAUAAUCAUUAUCUUUUUAAUUGAAAACUGGAAUGAAGGGUAUUGACUUUGAAAAUAGUUUUGCGAAAAUGAAUUGAAUUUUUAUUAAAAAUAGAAAUGUUUUUAUGAUAUUUCGGGACGAUAAAACCCCAAAGGCCUUCUCGUCCCGAAUUUUUGGUUGGGGUGAUCUUUUUUUAAUUUAAAUCCUUGUCGUUUUCAAUUAACUUUCAACAAAGUCACUCCCCGUCUAUCCGCGCAUCUUUUUUGGAGAGUUCGAAUAAGCAACUAUAUUUGCGACCGAUUUGUUGCAGCUAUUUGUAAAUUGCAUAUAGGAGUUUGAGCAGGUUCGAUUAACGUACACCCUAAUU
rnacentral:rRNA from 1 species